UGUGAAUGUGAAAAAUUGUGAGCUCUGCACAUCGUCCUCAAGCAAUUUUCGUGCUAAUGGCAGAAUAAAGUAAUUAAAAUAGCUGCCAAGGGGGAAAUCAUCAGAAAUUUAUGUAAAGAGGAACCUCCUAAAAGAAAAGACAAUUCUGAAACAAAAUCAACUAAUGUACAAAAGAUUGAUGAAACUCAUCAACAAAGGACAAACAACACAAAAACCUCUUAUGUUGUCCCGAAAAUACGUCAGAUCAAGCACAGAAAUUUACUAAAGGCGAAUUUUCAAAAUUAAUGCUGGAUAGAAGCAAUAUGCAUCUCGAUAUUUUGAAAUAUAUUCAAAAUUGUUCAACUACAUUAAAUUAAUGCCAAAAGUAGGAGACCCCGCGAAUAGUUGUGAGGACUAUGCUGAUAAAACUAGGAAUUUUACUUAGGAGCAAAGAUCAUCAAUCCUAAAAUAUUUAUGUGACAAUGUUCAUCCAAUCACCUUGCAACACCUUGGUGUACAUGUACCAAGUCUAAUUCAUGUCACUAUUACAUGCACUUUGAUACACAGACCAUCCAACUUUGAUUCAGGCUUUUUACAUCAUAUGGCUGAUCUAGAUGCUGUUUUAAGAGCACAGUCUGUACUGUUUGUGAUUGAAGAAGAAGUGGAAACAAAGCCAGAAAAUCUGUUGAGUCAUACAGAUAUUCUGUUUAAUAUGUCCCGAAACACAAACUUCAGCGAAGACCUACUUAAGAAAAGAUGCAUGGCAGCGUGUUUUAAAUACUCUCAAAGUAUUAGAAGAUAUGUAUAUUAGUAACACUCAGAAGUAUUAUGAUAAGAUUUCUCCAUGCCAGACAAGAAAAGGCAAAGCUUUAAUAGGUCCAGUUGAAGGAAGAAUAUUCAAAAAGUUUUCAAAAAGGACAUCAGACCAGAUUAAAUCAAGAAAAAGAAGUGUGGACAAUUCUUCAUUAAAAGCUAGGAAAUCCUUUACAAAUGAAGAUAUAGUUUUCCAUUAAAAGCUAGGAAAUCCCUUACAAGUGAAGAUAGUUCUCCAUUAAAAGCUAGGAAAUCCCUUACAAGUGAAGAUAGUUCUCCAUUAAAAGCUAGGAAAUCCCUUACAAGUGAAGAUAGUUCUCCAUUAAAAGCAAUAAAAGGCAGAAAAAGAUCAGGAAAUAAGAAAAUAGAUGCAGCAGAAUCCAAGAAGUGUACAGUAAGACUGACUGAUAUUGGUACUAUUAAAAACUUGAAAACAUAUGUAAACAAGACAGAGAAAAAAAGAAAAAGAAGGAAGAUAUGUGUAAAGAACUUGUAAAAAAAAAUGUUAAAUGUUAAAGGGGCACUAGCUGUCAAAUUCAUGUUCACCGACUUUACUUAAUUUCUAGUAUUUGAUUUAUAAUAAUGAAUAAUGUUAACAUUUAUCCAACCUAUUUAAAGUCUAAAAAAAAUUAUUAAGAGGACACGGUAUAAAAUUACAUUUCGUGUGUUCGCAGUCUAGACCGCCAUCUAAUUAAUUAUUGAGUUGACCUCUAAAGUCUUUCAAUGACCAUAUAAGCGAUGUAAACAUAAAUAUAGAUAUAAAUAGAUCAAGCAAAUUCAUGCUCUUGGAUUAUUCUAGGUCUAUUUAAUUUUAUAUUAUAGAUGAAACAUUAAUGUUUAUCAUCGUUUUUAUCUGUAUAAGAAUGAU